GGGGCCAUAGCUCAGUGGUAGGACUCAUGCUUGGCAUGCACCAGGUCCUGGGUUCAAUCCCCAGUGCCUCCA
rnacentral:tRNA from 1 species